CAUGGUUGAUCCUGCCAGUAGUCAUAUGCAUGUCUUAAAGAUUAAGCCAUGCAUGUGUAAGUAUGAACAAAUUCAUACUGUGAAACUGCGAAUGGCUCAUUAAAUUAGUUAUAGUUUUUUUGAUGGUAUCUACUACUCGGAUAACCGUAGUAAUUCUAGAGCUAAUACAUGCAACAAACCCCGACUUCUAGAAGUGAUGAAUUUAUUAGAUAAAAGGUUGAUGCAGGUGACAGAGAAUUAGGAUAGUGGCCUACCAUGGUGGUGACGGGUGAUGGAGAAUUAGGGUUCGAUUCCGGAGAAGGAGCUUGAGAAACGGCUACCACAUCCAAGGAAGGCAGCAGGCGUUCAAAUUACCCAACCCUGACACGAGGAGGUAGUGACAAUAAAUAAUAAUACCGGGCUCUAUGAGUCUGGCAAUUGGAAUGAGUACAAUCUAAAUCCCUUAACGAGGAUCCAUUAGAGGGCAAGUUUAGUGCCAGUAGCCGCAGUAAUUCCAACUCCAAUAAUGUAUAUUUAAGUUGUUGCAGUUAAAAACCUCGUAGUUGGACUUUGGGAUAGGCCGUCCGGUCCGCCUUAUGUGUGCACCGGUUGUCUAGCCGGUCCACCUUAGGUGUGCACCGGUCGUCUCGUUCCUUCUACCGGUGAUGCGCUCAUGGCCUUAUUUGGACGGGUCGUGCCUCCGGCGCUAUUACUUUAGAGAAAUUAGAGUGCUCAAAGCAAGCCUAUGCUCUGUAUACAUUAGUGUGGGAUGACAUUAUAAGAUUUUGGUCCAAUUACGUUGGCCUUCGGGAACAGUGUAAUGAUUAACAGGGACAGUCGGGGGCAUUCGUAUUUCAUAGUCAGAGGUGAUAUUCAUGGAUUUAUGAAAGACGAACAACUGCGAAAGCAUUUACCAAGGAUGUUUUCAUUAUUCAAGAACGAAAGUUGGGGGCUCGAAGAUGAUCCAAUUUUGUCUUAGUUUCAACCAUAAACGAUGUCGACCAGGGAUCGACAGAUGUUUUUUUUUAACUCCGCCGGCACCUUAUGAGAAAUCAAUAUUUUUGGGUUCCGGGGGGAGUAUGGUCGCAAGGCUGAAACUUAAAGGAAUUGACGGAAGGGCACCAUAAGGAGUGGAGCCUACGGCUCAAUUUGACUCAACACGGGGAAACUUACCAGGUCCAGUCAUAGUAAGGAUUGAUAGACUGAGAGCUCUUUCUUAAUUCUAUGGGUGGUGGUGCAUUGUUGUUCUUAGUUGGUGGAGCGAUUUGUCUGGUUAACUCCGUUAACGAACAAGACCUCAACCUACUAACUAGCUGUGGGGAGGUAUCCCUUCGCGGCCAGCUUCUUAGAGGGACUACGACCUUUUAGGCCGUAGAAGUUUGAUGCAAUAAUAGGUCUGUGAUUCCCUUAUAUGUUCUGGGCUGCACACGCGCUACACUGAUGUAUUCAACAAGUUUAUUGCCUUGGCCGACAGGCCCGGGUAAUCUUUGAAAUUUCAUCGUGAUGGGGAUAGAUCAUCGCAAUUGUUGGUCUUAAACGAGGAAUUCCUAGUAAGUGUGAGUCAUCAGCUCGCAUUGACUACGUCCCUUCCCUUUGUACACACUGCCUGUUGCUCCUACCGAUUGAAAGAUCAGGUGAAAUUUUCGAAUCACGGCGACGUGGGCGGUUAGCUUGCCGCGAUGUCACAAGAAGUCUAUUGAACCUUAUCAUUUAGAGGAAGGAGAAGUCAUAAAAAGGUGUCCGUAGGUGAACCUGCGGAAA
rnacentral:rRNA from 1 species